rnacentral:lncRNA from 1 species
UUAUGUUAAUUGUGUUUAUUUGGCCCUAUAUAUAGGGGACUAUUUUCAUGAUUAGGAUUUUAAUGAAUGAUUAAGAACUUUCUUUUCCCCCACAUCUUUUUCUUCUUCUUCCUCCUCCUCCCCUUCUCUUCUUCCUGCGUCCCUAGAACCUCUUUUUCCUUCUCCCUCUCUUGUUCUUCCUUCUUCUCCUCUUUCCCCGCACUUGUGCUGCAUCAUCUUGGUAUCAGAGCCCCGGCUUUGUCCCCGUUGCCAAAGCCACGAUCGAGCAUUUUCUCCCUCAACCUCCCACGGUCCACUGCCCUAGUCAUUCACUCCACCAAAAUCCCACCCGAGACUUCAUCUCUGUCUCUUCCCCUCGGUGCUCACCAGAAGAACACACACACACUUCAAAAAAAAAGAAAGAGAGAAGGUCCCUUCCUCCCUCUCGGUUGUCACAGAGAACAAAGGAAGGGCUCCGCCGGAAGAUUUUCCCUCUGCCUGUCGCCGUGUCUGCGCCAACUGCCUCCACCUUGCAGCGCCGUGCCGCCGUUGGGCCGCCAACAGAAGACGCCGCGACCCCACGAGAGCCAACGGCCGCGCCUCUGUGACCACCGCCAGUGGCCGGACCCGAAGUGGCAACGCCGCCGUUCCUUCCCAUCGCCGCAACCCGUCGCCUCAGGUCCUCCGUCGCUGCGCCCACCACCACCAUCAGCCACCUGCGUCGGAUCCACAGAGGGGCCGCUGCCGGAGCCGUGACCGCCUUGCCGUUGGCUCGCCACCGGACGCCGCCGUCUGCCGGAGUCUCCCAUCGCCAGUACAGCCGCCGCGACCUCCGCCCCUGCCCGCAGCCACCGCCGUGGAGAUUGGGGUAUCCUCCCGAACCCAUCGGGAGGUUGAAGAAAGGAUUAAUGGGUAAGGCCUAAACCCGUUAACCCACAACUCGGUAGCCCGGAUCCGCCACCAAAAAAAAAAUAUAUAUAGUGCACAUGAGUUACACGUGCGGGUCGUACGGAUAUCGGGUCGAGUCAAACCCGAUAACACGAAUCCUAACGGAUCCGAGUUAAAAAAGGAAAAAAAGGCAAAAAAAAAACUUGACCUGUCGUCUUCCUCCUCCGCGGCCGUCCGCAACGCCGCGCCGCCACCUGUGGAUGCUGUCCUCCCGUUGCCGAGCGUCGUCGCCUCCGAUCUCCUUCUCCUCCGUCGGCCGCCGCCCAUAAGUUUCUGUCGUCGUCGUCCUCGUCUCGCCUCCCUUUGGCCGCCACCUCUUCCGACACCGAGGAAGCUCCUUCAGACCGUCGCCGACCAUCGCCGCAUCAUUGGAGAUGCCUGCGUCCGCAUCUCGGUGCUGCCGACCUGCCUCCGCCGGAUCCCACCUCCCCUGCCAAAGGUAGCUCCCCAGGGCUUCGGUCGAAAGCCUUUCACUGCCCCCUUCCAUCCACCACCGGCCUCACAUACCCCAUCAGCCGAACGGGCCCUCAACGCAACUCACUCCCGCUCCAGUCCACGGGCCGCGCCCACGCCCGCGCUCGAUCUAAGGCCCACCGCAUCACCUGCGGCCCAACUGAUUGCAGGGCCCGCCCACUGCUUCAAAGGCCAAUUCACAAGCCUUUUCUUCAUUCACAGGCCCGCCAGCCACACCACACAGCACACCGGGAGGCAGGUCCUUCAGGCCCACAAGCUACUUCGACCAGUUAAUUCGCGCCUUCGAUAAGCCAAUUAAAGCCAAUUGAAGGGUCCAUCAGCUACAAUUGCACUCUUGAUCAUCGCCCACAAGCGACGACACUGGUCACCUACUUCACGACAGAUAAUAGGUUUCCGCUUUUCUUGGGCUUGUUCAUUUAAUUAUGUUCUGGUUCUCUUGCAUGAUAGCCACAUUUUGAAAACUUAUAUUGCUGUCAAAAUUCAGAACAUUAAAACCUUUCACUUCCGAACCCGUCCUAUUACCCAUUAAAUCUUGAUAUUAAAUUAGCACACCCUAGCAACAGGAUGUUUCUCAACAUUAUUCGUUCAAAUUACUUUAGGAUCAGAACAACUGAAUUACUUGAUUGCAAUCUAAUUUCUUAAAUUAAAUAAUCUUAAUCCUUAAUUCUGAAUAAUCGAAGUAAAAAUCAGCAACAUUUAAACUUUAAGUUAUUCUUGUGAAGACUUGCUGAUUUCUGAAAUCAUAAUAGAUUGCAUUAGUAGGUUGUCCUGCAUCAAAUUUGGUCCUACAUUAUAGUUAUUAGGGUUUCAUUAGUGACACUGCAUUUCACAUCAUCACCCAGUGUUAUCAUUGCAUGCCAACCUGUAGUGAUAUGGAGUACUAUCUCAAUCAACCUAAAAUCCCUGUAGCUACCAUGAAUUCCGAUAUUUUGAGAUCUAUCAUAGAACAGAUCGUUGCCAUGCGGGCUAGAUACAAGGAAUUCACACAAGAGAUCCGUGAGCUCAUACAAAAUUCUAGGACCUCUACACCGCCAACCCCACCUGUAAUCCUUUCCCAUUUUUUUGGGCACCAAACCCAAUACUCAAGGUGUCAACAAUUCGACCACAUAGCAUUCCAAUGUUCCAUUAGAACCUACCUGAUUACUGAACCAGAAGUUAGGAGCCAAGAGGUCGAAUAUGUCGAAGAAGCCUAUGAACCAAAUAUAGAAGACUAUGAAGAAGACUUUGAAGACGAAACUACAGAAUUAGACUUUGUCCAAAAUGAUUCUCAAAGGGAGACUAUUGAUCUAAGUACAACCAAGCCACUUCACAUCACUACUAUCGAAGAGGUAGUGACAGAUAUUAAGAGCUAGUCACCUGAAUUGGCACUUGUAGCUAAAGAUACCCAUGUAGCGUCCAAUCUUGAACAUUCCCCUAUAGUAGUUUUCCUUCUAGAGGAGUUUCAUGAUGUAGUCCCUGAUGAUCUUUCGGAUGCACUUUCUCCAAUGCGUGAUAUCCAACGUGCAAUUGAUCUAGUUUCCGGAGCAUCUCUGCCCAACCUUCUACAUCAUAGGCUCAUACCGAAUACACAUGCUAGGACCUGUAAUUUAAUGUUACCGACAAUUGAGUUUGCAUGUAAUAGUUCGGUUAACAAGUCCAUAGGUAUGAGUCCAUUUGAAGUGGUGCAUGAUUACAAACCUAGGCAACCCAUAGACCUAUUUUUCAUGUCUCAUCAGUAUAGAGUCUUUGAAUCUGCAAAAUCAAUUACAUCACAUCCACAUUCAUUGCAUCAAGAAAUCAGCAAUUGUAGUCACUUUAAUAACUUAAAAUAUAAAUCCCUUGCUGAUUUACACAGAUGUUAUAAAGAGUUAAGUGAAAAAGAUUAUGUCAUGAUAAGAAUUAGGCUUGAACGAUUUUCUUCAGAUACGUUUAAGAAAUUGCAAACUUGUAAUGCAGAACCGUUCAAAAUCUUAAAGAAAAUCAGUUCGAAUGCAUAUAUUGUGGAUCUUCCUGAUGACAAUGGGAUUAGUGUGAUAUUUUUAAUAUUGAAGAUUUAGUUCCAUACAAAAAGAUAAUAUUCAUGCCUUCUGACCCCUUUAUUGAUAUACCUACCCAUGUUGGACAUCCUAACCUAUUACCUACUGUUGAGCCACCACCUCCCAAAUUUCAUGCAUGCAGAGAACAAAUAGAACAUAUAUUGGAUGAGCAGGUUAUUUCAACCAGGAACGGUGGUUACCAAUGUUACCUUGUUCGGUGGAAAGAUCGACCAAAGUCUGAUAUGACGUAGCUUUCUAGAGCACAGUUACAGCGCCUUGACCCCGAUCUUCUGGAGCAGUAUGACAGCCGGCCAGACCUGUACUCGACGGGAUCGAGUUUUUCUCAUCCGGAAGGAGUUGAUGGGGACAUCAGAGCCCUUCAUCUAGAUGAUCCUGAGCCCCGAAUUGAGUCAGACCUAUUUAUUUGCAUAUUUAUUUUAUUUUUAUUUCUGGGCUUGUUUGCAUUUUAGCGCUUAUUUGUGUUAUUUGUGGGCUUAUUAGAAGUUAUUUGUGUGUAAGGGGGUUUUAUGUUAAUUGUGUUUAUUUGGCCCUAUAUAUAGGAGACUAUUUUCAUGAUUAGAAUUUUAAUGAAUGAUUAAGAACUUUCUUUUCCCCCAUAUCUUAUUCUUCUUCUUCCUCCUCCUCCCCUUCUCUUCUUCCUGCGUCCCUAGAACCUCUUCUUCCUUCUCCCUCUCUUGUUCUUCCUUCUUCUCCUCUUUCCCCGCACUUGUGCUGCAUCACCUAAGUCCUUAAGAAUGCGAACGAGGUAAGAAGUUUUCAUGGUUUAGCAAGUUUUUAUCGAAGGUUUGUUAAAAAUUUCAGUUCUAUUGCUGCACCUUUAAAUGAACUUGUUAAAAAGAAUGUUGUUUUUAAGUGAAAUGAUUAGCAUGAACAAGUUUUCACUGAUUUGAAAGAUAAGCUAACUAAUGCACCUUUGUUAAGUUUGCCUAACUUUGAUAAAGCUUUUGAAGUUGAAUGUGAUGCAUCCGGAAUUGGAAUA